UGACAUUUUUGGCAAACUGUUCUUUCAUCAUUUUGCCCAGAUCUACCCUUCUGCUCUAUUUGGUAUUUUUAACAUUUUUCAUGCAUAUCCCUCAAACAGACUUUAUCCAAUCUGAGAAGAAACACACAGAGAUAAAAAAGGACAUUAAAAACCUGUGGUGUGUGUGUGUGUGUGAUACUAGACAAUUACAUCCUUCACAUACUCCAGCAGUGCCUAGCUAAGGAUUCAGCUUAAAUUCUUUUUUUUUAAUAGUUUUUUUAAGAGUUAUUUAUUUUAUAUAUGUGAAUAUAUCAGACACAGGCCAUCGGAUCUCUUUACAGAUGGUUGUGAGCCACCAUGUGGUUGCUGGGAUUUGAACUCAGGACCUCUGGAAGAGCAGUCAGUGCUCUAACCACAAAGCCAUCCCUCCAGCCCCCUCAGCUUAAAUUCUUACACGGUUCUUUUGAUUUUUCUUUUAAACACAGACAUAACAAGCGAUUAAAGUUUAAAACAGCCUUUUGAGAUCAUUUUAGCAGGAAAGUCAUUAAGCUUUUCAAGAAUCUGUCAAUUAUCAAAAGAAGUUUCAAAUAAAUUAUCCUCAUUAUAAUUCUGUGUGAAUAAAAGGUAGAAAGUAUUAUAUCACAAUCAUUCUAUAAAAAUGAAUUUCUAAUAAUUUCCUCUAAUAAAAUUAACAAAAUUUAAAACUUCUUUGAAUAUCAGGUACAACAAUGGUCUUUAAAAAAAAAGAGAGAGAGACUUAAUUAAACAUUCCUGAUUUAAUAGUAGAAGAACAAGCUGCCUCUCUCGGGGCAGUAGAGUCUAUUUUAACCAAAUGCAUCAUCCUUCCAGCCUUCCUUACUUGGCUGAAUGAAAUAGUUUUUCUAGCUCAACUAUUUGUUCCCACGCUCCUUUAUUCAUUGUUCCACAUGACCAAAUAGAAUUCUUUAUGAGGUGUGGUGGUCUGAAUAAGCUUGCCUCAGGGAAUGACAAUAUCAGGAGGUAUAGCCUUGUUGGAGGAGGUGUGGCCUUGGAGAAAGUGUAGUGUCACAAAGGGGGUGGGCUUGGAGACCCUCCUCCUAGUUGCUUGAAAACUAGUCUUCUGUUUGCCUUCAGAACAAGAUGUAGAACUCUCAGCUCCUCCAGAACCAUGUUGCCUGGAUGCUGCCAUGCUCCCGCCUUGAUGAUGAUGGAGUGAAUCUCUGAACCUUUGGCAACUCAGAUGGGACUCCUCAGGUUUUCUAGUACUAAAACCAGUCAAGGUUUCUCUGGAUAGCCUCGGCCGUCUUGAAAAUCGCUUUAUAGAAUAGGAUGUCCUCAAACUCAGAGAUUCACCGCCUCUGCCUACCAAAUGCUGGGAUGACAGGUGUGUGCUACCACCACAAGGCGUAUAAAUAAAUUCUUAACCUUUGAACAUGUUUAUAAUA